UACAGAGGUCCCAAGCGUUGUUCGGAUUCACUGGGCGUAAAGGGUGCGUAGGCGGUUUGACAAGUCUGAUGUGAAAUCCCGCAGCUUAACUGCGGAACUGCAUUGGAAACUGUUUGACUAGAGGAAUGGAGGGGAGACUGGAAUACUUGGUGUAGCAGUGAAAUGCGUAGAUAACAAGUGGAACACCAGUGGCGAAGGCGAGUCUCUGGACAUUUCCUGACGCUGAGGCACGAAAGCCAGGGGAGCAAACAGG
rnacentral:rRNA from 1 species